GGCAGAAGAGUCGGAAGGUACAAGAGAUAUGAGUGCGUUCCGGUUUCCCACCUGCAGCGGUGCCUCCCAUAAUCCACCUGGCCUGGCUUCCGGUGGGCCUGGCCAUCUUCUUUUGAAACUUACGUCACACGUCCUACCGCGCGUGUGCGCCCACCUUUGCCGCGACACGUAUGGCGGCGCUGUGCUUGUACUAAAGUCCUUUAAACCUUAGGUGAUUCUCGGGUAGACUUGAAGCACUUGAAAGAAGCCACGGGCACCAUGAGCUGGUACUUUAUCACAAAACAGCCUUUCAGAAGAAGUCAGUGUAUAUCUUUGCAGGAUGCAGAUGAGGGACACAGGAGCUAUGGCACAUCCACCUGUUACAUCCUUGGCACCGCACAACUGAGAAGUGAAUGUUCACUGUCCAGAACCUGGGAAAUUAGAGUGGGAGGGCACACGGGCAGAGUUUCAUCAGAGUCCCUG